rnacentral:rRNA from 1 species
AGUGAACGCUGGCGGUAGGCCUAACACAUGCAAGUCGAACGGCAGCACAGUAAGAGCUUGCUCUUACGGGUGGCGAGUGGCGGACGGGUGAGGAAUACAUCGGAAUCUACUUUUUCGUGGGGGAUAACGUAGGGAAACUUACGCUAAUACCGCAUACGAUCUACGGGUGAAAGCAGGGGAACGUCGCACCUUGCGGGAUUGAAUGAGCCGAUGUCGGAUUAGCUAGUUGGCGGGGUAAAGGCCCACCAAGGCGACGAUCCGUAGCUGGUCGGAGAGGAGGAUCGGCCACACUGGAACUGGGACACGGACCAGACUCCUACGGGAGGCAGCAGUGGGGAAUAUGGGACAAUGGGCGCAAGCCUGAUCCAGCCAUACCGCGUGGGUGAAGAAGGCCUUCGGGUUGUAAAGCCCUUUUGUUGGGAAAGAAAAGCAGCAGGUUAAUACCCCGCUGUUCUGACGGUACCCAGAGAAUAAGCACCGGCUAACUUCGUG